CCUACGGGAGGCUGCAGUGAGGAAUAUUGGUCAAUGGCCGCAGGGCUGAACCAGCCAAGUCGCGUGAGGGAUGACGGUCCUAUGGAUUGUAAACCUCUUUUGUCAGGGAGCAAAGGGUGCCACGCGUGGCGUUUUGAGAGUACCUGAAGAAAAAGCAUCGGCUAACUCCGUGCCAGCAGCCGCGGUAAUACGGAGGAUGCGAGCGUUAUCCGGAUUUAUUGGGUUUAAAGGGUGCGCAGGCGGAAUGUCAAGUCAGCGGUAAAAUCUCGGGGCUCAACCCCGUCGUGCCGUUGAAACUGGCAUUCUUGAGUGGGCGAGAAGUAUGCGGAAUGCGUGGUGUAGCGGUGAAAUGCAUAGAUAUCGCGCAGAACUCCGAUUGCGAAGGCAGCAUACCGGCGCUCCACUGACGCUGAUGCACGAAAGCGUGGGUAUCGAACAGGAUUAGAUACCCGUGUAGUC
rnacentral:rRNA from 1 species